AGAGUUUGAUCCUGGCUCAGGAUGAACGCUAGCUACAGGCUUAACACAUGCAAGUCGAGGGGCAGCAUUUUAGUUUGCUUGCAAACUAAAGAUGGCGACCGGCGCACGGGUGAGUAACACGUAUCCAACCUGCCGAUAACUCGGGGAUAGCCUUUCGAAAGAAAGAUUAAUAUCCGAUAGUAUAUUAAAACCGCAUGGUUUUACUAUUAAAGAAUUUCGGUUAUCGAUGGGGAUGCGUUCCAUUAGUUUGUUGGCGGGGUAACGGCCCACCAAGACUACGAUGGAUAGGGGUUCUGAGAGGAAGGUCCCCCACAUUGGAACUGAGACACGGUCCAAACUCCUACGGGAGGCAGCAGUGAGGAAUAUUGGUCAAUGGACGAGAGUCUGAACCAGCCAAGUAGCGUGAAGGAUGACUGCCCUAUGGGUUGUAAACUUCUUUUAUAAAGGAAUAAAGUCGGGUAUGCAUACCCGUUUGCAUGUACUUUAUGAAUAAGGAUCGGCUAACUCCGUGCCAGCAGCCGCGGUAAUACGGAGGAUCCGAGCGUUAUCCGGAUUUAUUGGGUUUAAAGGGAGCGUAGAUGGAUGUUUAAGUCAGUUGUGAAAGUUUGCGGCUCAACCGUAAAAUUGCAGUUGAUACUGGAUGUCUUGAGUGCAGUUGAGGCAGGCGGAAUUCGUGGUGUAGCGGUGAAAUGCUUAGAUAUCACGAAGAACUCCGAUUGCGAAGGCAGCUCACUAGACUGCAACUGACACUGAUGCUCGAAAGUGUGGGUAUCAAACAGGAUUAGAUACCCUGGUAGUCCACACAGUAAACGAUGAAUACUCGCUGUUUGCGAUAUACAGUAAGCGGCCAAGCGAAAGCAUUAAGUAUUCCACCUGGGGAGUACGCCGGCAACGGUGAAACUCAAAGGAAUUGACGGGGGCCCGCACAAGCGGAGGAACAUGUGGUUUAAUUCGAUGAUACGCGAGGAACCUUACCCGGGCUUGAACUGUAGGCGAACGAUUCAGAGAUGAUGAGGCCCUUCGGGGCGCCUAUGGAGGUGCUGCAUGGUUGUCGUCAGCUCGUGCCGUGAGGUGUCGGCUUAAGUGCCAUAACGAGCGCAACCCUUGUUCGUAGUUGCCAUCGGGUGAUGCCGGGCACUCUGCGAAGACUGCCUCCGUAAGGAGUGAGGAAGGUGGGGAUGACGUCAAAUCAGCACGGCCCUUACGUCCGGGGCUACACACGUGUUACAAUGGGGGGUACAGAAGGCAGCUACCUGGCGACAGGAUGCUAAUCCCAAAAACCUCUCUCAGUUCGGAUCGAAGUCUGCAACCCGACUUCGUGAAGCUGGAUUCGCUAGUAAUCGCGCAUCAGCCAUGGCGCGGUGAAUACGUUCCCGGGCCUUGUACACACCGCCCGUCAAGCCAUGAAAGCCGGGGGCGCCUAAAGUCCGUGACCGCGAGGGUCGGCCUAGGGUGAAACCGGUGAUUGGGGCUAAGUCGUAACAAGGUAGCCGUACCGGAAGGUGCGGCUG
rnacentral:rRNA from 1 species